CCUACGGGAGGCAGCAGUGGGGAAUAUUGGACAAUGGGGGCAACCCUGAUCCAGCCAUGCCGCGUGAGUGAUGAAGGCCUUCGGGUUGUAAAGCUCUUUUGGCGGGGACGAUGAUGACGGUACCCGCAGAAUAAGCCCCGGCUAACUUCGUGCCAGCAGCCGCGGUAA
rnacentral:rRNA from 1 species